GUUUAGGCAAAUUCUGCCUGAUGGUACUGCCGGUGAAAGACUUCUUAAGAUCACACACAACCCCUAGUUCUAGUGACACAUCAACAGCUGGCUUUAUGUGGGGAUGCCCCUGAAGUAGUUGGUCCAUUAUAGCAACAGCAAGAAAAUGCCACUGUUGAGAAAAUGUACAUUAAUUUAUCCUAAUGGAGCCUGGAUGAAGCCCUCACGGAGAAGCAGCGCCCCUCUGAAAACUCUUCAUAUACUACAUCUCAGAUACUACAUCUAUUUUGUACAGUUUAACAGUCCUCAGGAAACUAAAUGCUUCAUGUCACAGCAUUACUACAUGGUGACUGUUUAACCUUGCUCUCUUUUGGCAUGGUCUGCUUUCCUUAAGAAGAUGCCCAGAUGUUGGAUCACAUUACUCCAUCCAUGUGAGGGAUGCCUAUGCCUAUGUCCACUCCUCAGAAGCUGGCAACCCCAGAGACAACUUAGCUAAGCCAGAGCGUGUUUUAGGGACUUUUCAGGUUAAGUAACUAUGAAUCUCUUUGUUAAUGUAAUUCAUACACUUUUCAUCAUUUCUGUACAUUUGUUGUCUUUGAUCAAAAUCCUCAUGUGCGUUUUAAAUUUUAUGGGACCAGUUUGUGUAAGAUUGUCCGUGGUCAUUUGCUAUGAAGGAAAUAUUAAAACUGAGUUAAGCCCUUUAAUACCUGUCCCAGAAUACGGGAACUCUAAAAAUA